GACGAACGCUGGCGGCGUGCUUAACACAUGCAAGUCGAACGAUGAAGCCCAGCUUGCUGGGUGGAUUAGUGGCGAACGGGUGAGUAACACGUGAGUAACCUGCCCUGGACUCUGGGAUAACCCCGAGAAAUCGGAGCUAAUACAGGAUAGGACCUUGAAUCGCAUGAUUCUUGGUGGCAAGUUUUUCGGUUUGGGAUGGACUAGGGGCCUAUCAGAUUGUUGGUGAGGUAAUGGCUCACCAAGGCGUCGCAGGGUAGCCGGCCUGAGAGGGUGACCGGCCACACUGGGACUGAGACACGGCCCAGACUCCUACGGGAGGCAGCAGUGGGGAAUAUUGCACAAUGGGCGCAAGCCUGAUGCAGCAACGCCGCGUGCGGGAUGACGGCCUUCGGGUUGUAAACCGCUUUUAGUAAGGAAGAAGGGGCUUCGGCCUUGACGGUACUUGCAGAAAAAGGACCGGCUAACUACGUGCCAGCAGCCGCGGUAACAC
rnacentral:rRNA from 1 species